GCGGGGCGGGCGAAUGCGGGCGGCGCGUGGGCCCCUCCUGGUAAGCAGGACGGGCGAGGCGGGACGAUCCGGACGCCGGGCCAGGGUGCGCCGCCGGGGCCCGCGGAACGGCGUCGGCCGGUCCCGACAGCUGGAAGGUGGCCCCAGAAGUCGGCAUCCUCCAGGGAGUGUGUAACAACCCACCAGCCGAAUCGGCCGGCCCGGAAAAUGGAGCGCGCCGGAGCCCCGGACCCGCGCCCGGCCGCCGCGCGCGGCGGGUAGGAGGCCGCAGAGGCCCCGGGGGCGAAGGCGGCGCGCAGGCCCCGCCGGACCGGCCUCUGGUGCAGAUCUCGGCAGCAGUAGCCGCUACUCCGCGCCCCGGAGGACUGAGGGGGAGACGGGUUCCGCGGCGCCUGCAUCUGGCCGCGGGUGACUCGGGCCUAAGCGGCGGGUGAAGACCGGGAAGGGGCGUGCCCGCCCGUCGAACGGGGAGCCGGCGGAGACUCCGGCAGGCGCGGCCCCCGCGGAGACGCCCGCCCCCGGCGACGCGCACGGGGACCGCGGCGGGCGGCGCCCCGGCCCGCGAACGCCCCGCAGCCCCCGGACGCCUUGCGCGGAGAGGGGGGCCCGGGGGCGGACCCCGCGCGUCCCCGGCCGCCCCUGAAAAGCCGGGGGGCGCCGGCCGCGCGCCGUACCGACCGCAGCAGGACUCCGGGGUCAGCAGCCUCUAGCGCGGGAGCGAACGCGGCUCAGGGAAGUCGGCAAGCCGGCUCCGUAACCUCGGGAAAAGGAGUGGCUCUGACGGCGCGCCGGGUCAGAACUGGAACGGACGCGGGGAUCCCGACUGUUUACUAGAAACACAGCGUCGCGAGGGCCGCACCCGGCGCUGGCGCGACGUGAUUUCUGCCCAGUGCCACGACCGUCACCGUGAAGCGAUCCGCCGAAGCCCUGGUAAACGGCGGGAGUAACUAUGACUCUCUUAAGGUAGCCAAAUGCCUCGUCGGGCAAUUUCCGACGUGCAUGAAUGGACCAACGAGGAUCCCACUGUCCCGAGCCGCGCCUCCGCGAGCCUCCAGCCUCGGGAACGGGCGAGGGCCGGCCAGCGGGGCAAGAAGACCCUUUUGAGCUUGACUCCAGCCCGGGCCUGUGGGGCGGGGCGGCCGGCGCAGCGCACAGGGGAGGCCGCGCCCCUGAGACACCCUGACGGCCGCCGCCGCCCCGCUCACCCGGUCGCGCGGGGACCCGCCCGGGCGGGGAGUUCGGCUGGGGCGGCGCGCCUGCUACACCGGACCGCAGGCGUCCCACGGCGGGCUCAGCGAGGACGGAGACCUCCCGCGGAGCAGAAGGGCACAAGCCCGCCCGACCCGCGCCCCCCGUGCCGGCGCGGGCCGCGAAAGCGGGGCCUACCGAUCCUUCGCCGCCCCGGCCGCGGGCGCGGAGGUGGCAGAAAAGUUACCACAGGGAUAACUGGCUUGUGGCCGCCGAGCGCCCGCAGCGACGCGGCUUUUUGAUCCUUCGAUGUCGGCUCUUCCUACCGUCCGCGCGCACCGGCGCGGAAGCGUCGGAUUGUUCACCCGUUCAAGGGAUCGUGAGCUGGGUUUAGACCGUCGUGAGACAGGUUAGUUUUACCCUACUGGCCCCGGGGCCAGAGCACGGCGGGCCAGUACGAGAGGAACGCCCGCCGCGGGCCGCCAGCCCCGCGGUUGCCCGGCCGGGCAGCGCCGCGCCGCCGCGCCCGGGGGCCCUGCGCUGACCGCCUCUAAGCGCGCACCCCGCCUCGCGCCCCGCCCGGCCGCGCGCCCCAGCCCCGUGCCCCGUCGCCGAGCGGCCCCCGCCCGGGGAGACCACCCGGCGCGGCGCUCCUGUACGGCGCAGAGCCCUGCGAUCGCCUGAGG